AAUCUUUUUUUAAAACAAAUAUUCAUAAGAAACUUGUUUAGGCUUGAAGAAAAUCAGAACCCCUGUGUAUGCCCUCAUCACUUAUCCUGACUCCUCUCCAAAACACUGUCUUGACUUUUAAUGUUAUAAAUAACGUUUACCUGCUUUUGAAUUUAUAUAAAGGGAAUCAUACACUGUGAAUUUCAUGUCUGUGUUUUUCACUCCUAUCUGAUAUUUGUGCAAUUCCUCCAUAUUAUUGCGGUUAUCUGUCGUUUGUUACUGUUCACUGCUGUACUAUGUACAAAGAACACUAAGAAUCCAUUCAAUCCUGUGUC
rnacentral:lncRNA from 1 species